CUUCUUCAACUUACAGAAACUUCAACUUUGGCACACUUGAUGGAGCUUUUCAAACUCAAUAUUUUGGACUACCUGAAACAUCACUAAAAUAUUCUCCAAAGAUAAGAAACUCAUUAGUAGUCUCCUCAAAUGGUUUGUGAUCAUCAAAAUCAAUUCUUGGAGCAACAACUAGCUGGCAGGGAGCCCAGUGUAAGUUGGAGCUUCAGGAACCAAGGAGAGUCUAGUGCAAGAUGGAGCUCUAGGUGGAGGUGGAUGGGGCAUGAGACGAGA
rnacentral:lncRNA from 1 species